GUGGAAUAGAGUUUAGUUUCAGGGAGAAAAAGAGGAAAUCAAGGCCUUGCAGUCAGCUUUAGAAGAAACGCAUGAAGAUGUGGGGAAUCCUGAAAAUAAAGUAGUGGAAGGGACUCUGUUGCAUCGUCUUCAUGCCUUAUGGAAGCAGGAUGAGGAACAUUGGAGACAACGGUCUCGAAUCCAUUGGCUUCAAGCUGGCAACUGCAAUUCCAGAUUCUUUCACUUAUCUAUGACAAAUAGAAGGUAGCGAAAUUCUAUUAUGAAGCUGCAGGGAAGCAAUGGAAAUUGGAUUGAAGCAGAAGAGGAUAUUAGAGAGGAAAUCAUGCA
rnacentral:misc_RNA from 1 species